AGAGUUUGAUCCUGGCUCAGGACGAACGCUGGCGGCGUGCCUAACACAUGCAAGUCGAACGGAGAAAUUAUUUCGGUAAUUUCUUAGUGGCGAACGGGUGAGUAACACGUAAACAACCUGCCUUUUAGAUGGGGACAACAUCUCGAAAGGGAUGCUAAUACCGAAUGUUUUGGUUUUAUCGCAUGAUGAAACCAAUAAAGGUGGCCUCUAUUUAUAAGCUACCGCUAAAAGAGGGGUUUGCGUCUGAUUAGCUAGUUGGUAGUGUAACGGCCUACCAAGGCAAUGAUCAGUAGCCGGUCUGAGAGGAUGAACGGCCACACUGGGACUGAGACACGGCCCAGACUCCUACGGGAGGCAGCAGUGGGGAAUCUUCCGCAAUGGGCGAAAGCCUGACGGAGCAACGCCGCGUGAACGAAGAAGGUUUUCGGAUCGUAAAGUUCUGUUCUUAGAGACGAAAGAUACGAUUGUGAAUAAUGAUCGUAAGUGACGGUAACUAAGGAGCAAGCCACGGCUAACUACGUGCCAGCAGCCGCGGUAAUACGUAGGUGGCAAGCGUUGUCCGGAAUCAUUGGGCGUAAAGGGAGCGUAGGUGGAACUUUAAGUCGGACUUAAAAGUGCGGGGCUCAACCCCGUGAUGGGUCCGAAACUGGAGUUCUUGAGUGUAGGAGAGGAAAGCGGAAUUCCCAGUGUAGCGGUGAAAUGCGUAGAUAUUGGGAGGAACACCAGUGGCGAAGGCGGCUUUCUGGACUAUAACUGACACUGAGGCUCGAAAGCCAGGGGAGUGAACGGGAUUAGAUACCCCGGUAAUCCUGGCCGUAAACGAUGGGUACUAGGUGUAGGAGGUAUCGACCCCUUCUGUGCCGGAGUUAACGCAAUAAGUACCCCGCCUGGGGAGUACGGUCGCAAGACUGAAACUCAAAGGAAUUGACGGGGGCCCGCACAAGCGGUGGAGUAUGUGGUUUAAUUCGACGCAACGCGAAGAACCUUACCAAGGCUUGACAUCGAUUGACAGACUAAGAAAUUAGUCCUUCUCUUCGGAGACAAGAAGACAGGUGGUGCAUGGUUGUCGUCAGCUCGUGUCGUGAGAUGUUGGGUUAAGUCCCGCAACGAGCGCAACCCCUGUGCUAUGUUGCCAGCAAGUAAAGUUGGGAACUCAUAGCAGACAGCCGUAGAAAUACGGAGGAAGGCGGGGAUGACGUCAAAUCAUCAUGCCCCUUAUGCCUUGGGCUACACACGUACUACAAUGGGCUUUAAUAGAAGGAAGCAAAACUGCGAAGUCGAGCAAAUCCCAAAAACAAGCUCUCAGUUCGGAUUGCAGGCUGAAACCCGCCUGCAUGAAGUCGGAAUCGCUAGUAAUCGCAGGUCAGCAUACUGCGGUGAAUACGUUCCCGGGCCUUGCACACACCGCCCGUCA
rnacentral:rRNA from 1 species